AGCCACCUACGGGGCGCAGCAGGGAGGAAUAUUGGUCAAUGGGCGGAAGCCUGAACCAGCCAAGUCGCGUGAGGGAAUAAGGCCCUACGGGUCGUAAACCUCUUUUGCCGGGGAGCAAGGGCGGGGACGUGUCCCGGCCCGGAGAGUACCCGGAGAAAAAGCAUCGGCUAACUCCGUGCCAGCAGCCGCGGUAAUACGGAGGAUGCGAGCGGUAUCCGGAUUUAUUGGGUUUAAAGGG
rnacentral:rRNA from 1 species